CACGAACUGCGCAAACGUUAUUCGGAAUCACUGGGCUUAAAGAGUUCGUAGGCGGCGCGUUAAGUCGGGUGUGAAAUCCCUCGGCUCAACCGAGGAAUUGCGCCCGAAACUGGCGUGCUUGAGUAAGAUAGAGGUGAGCGGAACUGAUGGUGGAGCGGUGAAAUGCGUUGAUAUCAUCAGGAACACCGGUGGCGAAAGCGGCUCACUGGGUCUUGACUGACGCUGAGGAACGAAAGCUAGGGGAGCGAACGGG
rnacentral:rRNA from 1 species